UUGCGGUGGAGCAGAAGAAAAACCGGAAUCUUUGCUUCCUGAAGUCUUCCUCCUAAUGCUAGCAAGGUACCAUUCAUGGGGAAAGGAGGUACCCAUAUCUGUCUGGACAUCAGGCAAUUAUUUUCACCAUAAGAACAUGACAGGAGAUGUAAGCCAUAGCUGAAAUAUAUUCCCUCUCCACCGUUCCUCAGGAAUACAGCUGUUUCACAAGGUAGGAGUUCCCGCCUACACUACAAUCAAGCAUGCAGAAGCUACAGCACGGAACUGACAUUAGGCUGGCCAAUCAACAACUACCAGCUUCUCUGCUUUUCCCAUUUUUCUGAGAGAGAGAUUCCAUUUGCCUUUUCCCAGGACCUCACCCAUCCUCAGAAAUCUCCAUGGAUGGAAGGCUAGAGAGCUGAACUGAAUACCGCUUACAUUUUCCGAGACCCUUCCGGGAGGGACUGAAUCAAUCACAAGCAUAAUUCAACAUCGGGUAAGCUAAAUCUUAUCACUUGACUCCUUACAGCUUUCCAUCACCACCUAGCUAGCAGGCAGAUCACCCAUUUUUGCAUAACAGGGCCUUAUUCUUAACAUGACCCAGUCUCUUUAGCUGUAGCACGCUCCCUCCCCUAAGUAAGCUGCUUGUUAGCCUUAUCUCAUCAGCUGGGAGACAGCUGAUUAGUUACAGGUAGAGGCUAAACCCAUCUCCUUAAAGCCCCGACUCACAUGUGACCAGAGGAGUAUUUUUUUCAUACUUGAGAAUGCCAGUCUUGCUAAGCAUAUACUUAAGAGAAUUACAGGUUACUAGGAAACUAGAUGAAAUUAUGUGACCUAUGUUAUACAGAACAAUGGAUUAGAUGAGAAAUUGGCCUCUUUCUUCUUAAAUCCUGUGAAUGUAUUUUUAUUUUAGUAGUGCGAGAAAUGCUUCAACUUGUGUCUAAGUUUUAAAAGGAUAUGCCCUACUACAUGAGAGCAUUAUUGUCGCAAGGAAACUGUCUCUUUAAAUGAAGCCAUUGGCUUGAGAAUGGAUAUCUACAAAACAGGCUAACUGAAGCUUUUGAAGGAGUUUUUCACUUUUCAGUUUGAGCUUCUAAUGUAAUCACCUCUGCAGUUAAAUAUAACUGUAUUUAUCUGCCAUUAUUUACAAAACAAGUAUUUGGGAGUGUACUGAAAAGUAGAGAAAAGUGGUAGUGUGGCACCUGAGCUAAGAUAAGGGGAAGGGAAGGAAGAUGCAUGCAA
rnacentral:lncRNA from 1 species